AUGGCUGUAGACGUUGGCAAGUGGGUUAGUUUCUUCAAAAAUUCUUGGGCUUUAAUCCCACUGUCACUAUGCAUUAUUUUAUUUUAUUUUUUACUCAUUGUGAAUGUGUCUGAUGUCACGCAGAUUAUUGCCCAUGGAGUGGUCGUGAUUACGGUGGUUGUCGCGUACUCUUCUGUCUCCUCCCACAUAAAUAAUACCGCGCAGAGCGCCGCCACGAGCGCCGUGAAGGUGUCGCUGGCGCACGUCGCCGCCGGCAUGCAGUCUCUCAUGGAAGCCAACCACUCUGCCGCCAUCGUCGCACACUCUUUGCAGAUCCCUAGCAACAAAUCAUCUCAUUUCCGACACGUGGGAUCACAUCUGUUCAUGGCGUUGGCCAUGCAGCCUCAGGUGGCCGAGAUGUCAUACACCAGCGUGAACGGCACCACGUUGACAUACUACCGCGCCGAGGACGGUCAGCAGACAGCGAAGCUCGUGAGCCAACGCCGCAAAUGGUACACCGAGCAGGCGGUUGAUCCGGUGACCGGCCGUCUCACCGGCCACCCCGUCCCAGCGACGAGGCCGGAGCACCUGCCCAACGCGACACAGCUCAUCGCCGCCGCCAACAGCGGCUCACCCGCGGCGCUCCAGGCCGGGUGGGUCCACUCCAGCGUCCAGGUGGUGGUCUUCUCCGCACCGGUCGGCCAGACCGCCGUGGUCUCCGCUGCCGUCCCCGUCGACGUCCUGACGAUCACUAGCCUGGGCACCGCGGCCGAUCCGGCCGCGGACACUUACUACGCGAUCACCGACAAGCGCACCGGCGCGGCGACGGUUUAUAAGCCUUUGGCCCGUGGGAGGCCCGGCCACGGCGCGAAGCUGAUGAAGACCUUGUUUUCCGAUAGCAACUGCACGGCGUCCGCCAUUGACAAGCCCGGUAUCGUGAUCCACAGCGUCGGGUCGGACCAAGUUGCGUGCACGAGCUUCGACCUCUCCGGCGUGAACCUGGGAGUCUGGCUAUUGCUCAGCGAGUUGAGAGGGGCAACCAAGGUCCGACGGAUCGGGGUGGCUGUCGUGUGCAUCGUGUGUGCAGUCACGAUAGUGGCAAUGGUGGUGUGCUUCCUCAUGGCACGUGUGUUGUGGAAGGUCAGGGCGCGGGAGGUCGUGCUGGAGGCCGACCUACUGCAACAGAAGGAAGCGCUCCAGCAAACGGAGCGCAAGAGCAUGAACAAGAGCAAUGCCUUCGCCCGCGCUAGCCACGACAUCCGCUCCUCGCUCGCUGCUGUCGCCGGACUCAUCGAGAUCUCCCGGUCGGAGGCCCGCGGCAAGACCAACCUCAUCUAUAACCUCAACCAGAUGGAUGUCGGCACCAAUAAGCUCUUCGAUAUUCUUAACACGAUACUGGACAUGGGCAAGUUGGAGUCUGGGAAGAUACAGCUAGAAGAGGUCGAGUUCAGGAUGGCAGAUGUCCUCGAGGAAUCCAUGGACCUGGCGAACGUCGUUGGAAUGUCAAGAGGUGUCGAGGUGAUCUGGGACCCUUGCGACUUCUCCGUGCUCCGGUGCACCGCUACCGUCGGUGACUGUAAGCGUGUCAAGCAGAUCCUCGACAACCUUCUCGGCAACGCCAUCAAGUUCACGCACGAAGGCCAUGUCAUGCUCCGGGCGUGGGCCAACCGCCCCGUCAUAAGGGGCUCCAUGAUCAGCACCCCGUCGAGGUUUGCGCCCCGCCGUCGUGUCGCUAGGGUCUUCGGUCGGCUGCUUGGAAGGAGUGAGAAUUGUGCCGAACAGAAUGGCGGCUUGUCCUUGAAAAUUGAUCCCGAUUCGGUUGAGUUUUAUUUUGAGGUUGUUGACACUGGUGUGGGGAUACCCGAAGAGAGGAGGGAGUCUGUGUUUGACAACUACGUUCAAGUGAAGGAUGGGCAUGGUGGCACCGGGCUCGGACUUGGAAUUGUGCAAUCAUUUGUUCGUCUGAUGGGAGGGGAGAUAAGCAUCAAGGACAAGGAGUCAGGAGAAGCGGGAACGUGCUUUGGCUUCAACGUGUUCCUGAAGGCCAGGGAGAGUCCAGAGGGAGCCCGCCUGCUUCAAGGGCGACACUGCAUCCUCCUUGUCCACGGCGACGAGACCCGCCGGAUCCUGCACACAUGGAUGGAGAGCGUCGGGGUGAAGGUCUGGCCCAUCUCGUGCGCCGAGCUCCUCGCCCCGACCAUCGACGAGGUGUGCUCCGCCUUCAACGCCUCGCCGUCAAGGCCACCAUCGAUGUCGUCGCUGCACAGCGCAGGAUGCGAUGACUUGGAAGACACCAUACAUCGCUGCCUUGUCUCCAAGGAGAUGUCCAGCCACCUGAGGAGCAGCAGGGGCAUGGGCGGCAACCACGCCGGGCACCUCCACGCCUUCAGCUUGCUCGUAGUCGUCGACGUCUCUGCUGGGAGGCUCCACGAGGCUGCCCAGGAGGCGGCGAGCUUGGCGAGGACCAAGCUCCAGGCGCCGUGCAGGGUCGUCUGCCUGACGGACCUGAAGACCCCCUCCGAGGACCUAGGGAGGUUUAAAGAGGCGAGCUGCUGCGACCUUGAGCUGCGCAAGCCCAUCCACGGCUCCCGGCUGCACAAGCUCCUCCAGGUCAUGAGAGACCUCCAGGCAUCCCCUUUCGAUCACCUUCACCCAUAUCAGUUCGAGAUGCGGGCGGCAGAUCAAACCACUGCGUCGGCUUCCGAGAUCAUGCCCACGGUGCCCAUGGGACCAACCAAUGUUGGAGACGGCAAGCCACUGGAGGGGAUGCGCGUGCUGUUGGUGGACGACACCAUGCUUCUGCAGAAAAUCCACGGGCAGAUGUUGAACGAUCUCGGAGCAACCGUGGAGAUUGCAGGCGAUGGCUCCGUGGCUGUGGCCAUGUUCACAGAAGCUCUUCACAACGCCUUGUCGUAUGACGUGGUCCUCAUGGAUUGCCAGAUGCCGGUGAUGAAUGGCUAUGAGGUGACGAGGCGCAUCCGUGAGGAAGAAAGCCGACAAGGCGUCCGCACCCCGAUCAUUGCACUGACAGCGAAUUCCACAGAGGAAGGGCUGCGGGAGGCCAUCGAAGCUGGGAUGGAUCUUCACCUGACGAAGCCGAUACCAAAGCCGAAGAUCGCAAGGAUGGUUCUUGAGCUCUGCAAACAAGACAAGAAUUGA
rnacentral:rRNA from 1 species